rnacentral:rRNA from 1 species
AUGAACGCUAGCGGCAGGCCUAACACAUGCCAGUCGAGGGAGGAGCCUUCGGGCUUCGACCGGCGUACGGGUGCGUAACGCGUAUACAAUCUGCCUUUCACAUAGGGAUAGCCCGAAGAAAUUUGGAUUAAUACCUAAUGGUAUAUAGAUGUGGCAUCACCUUUAUAUUAAAGCUGAGGCGGUGAAAGAUGAGUAUGCGUUCUAUUAGCUAGUUGGAGAGGUAACGGCUCCCCAAGGCGACGAUAGAUAGGGGUUCUGAGAGGGAUAUCCCCCACACUGGUACUGAGAUACGGACCAGACUCCUACGGGAGGCAGCAGUGAGGAAUAUUGGACAAUGGUCGGAAGACUGAUCCAGCCAUGCCGCGUGCAGGAAGACGGCCUUAUGGGUUGUAAACUGCCUUUGCAGGGGAAGAAUAAGGACUACGCGUAGUUUGAUGACGGUACUCUGCGAAUAAGCAUCGGCUAACUCCGUG